rnacentral:rRNA from 1 species
CCUACGUGAAGCAGCAGUGAGGAAUAUUGGUCAAUGGGCGGAAGCCUGAACCAGCCAAGUAGCGUGCGGGAUGAAGGCCCUACGGGUCGUAAACCGCUUUUGCACGGGGAUAACACCCUCCACUUGUGGAGGUCUGCAGGUACCGUGCGAAUAAGGGCCGGCUAAUUCCGUGCCAGCAGCCGCGGUAAUACGGAAGGCCCGAGCGUUAUCCGGAUUCAUUGGGCUUAAAGGGCGCGUAGGCGGGCGUUCAAGUCAGCUGUAAAAUCGAGAGGCUCAACCGCGCCCCGCAGUUGAAACUGGACGCCUUGAGUUCACAACAGGCAGGCGGAAUUCGUGGUGUAGCGGUGAAAUGCAUAGAUAGCACGAGGAACCCCGAUUGCGAAGGCAGCCUGCCGGGGUGCGACUGACGCUCAUGCACGAAGGCGUGGGUAUCGAACAGGAUUAGAUACCCUAGUAGUC